rnacentral:rRNA from 1 species
AUUGAACGCUGGCGGCAGGCCUAACACAUGCAAGUCGAACGAGUGGCGGACGGGUGAGUAAUGUCUGGAAAACUGCCUGAUGGAGGGGGAUAACUACUGGAAACGGUAGCUAAUACCGCAUACCAUCAGAUGUGCCCAGUUGGGAUUAGCUUGUGGUGGGGGUAACGGCUCACCAAGGCGACGAUCCCUAGCUGGUCUUAGAGGAUGACCAGCCACACUGGAACUUAGACACGGUCCAUACUCCUACGGGAGGCAUCAGUGGGGAAUAUUUCACAAUGGGCGCAAGCCUGAUGCAGCCAUGCCGCGUGUAUGAAGAAGGCCUUCGGGUUGUAUAGUACUUUCAGCGGGGAGGCGUUACCCGCAGUAGAAGCACCGGCUAACUCCGUGCCAGCAGCCGCGGUAAUAC